rnacentral:tRNA from 1 species
CAUUAGAUGACUGAAAGAAAGUAUUGGUCUCUUAAACCAUAUAAUAGUAAUUUAACGCCUACUUCUAAUGA